CAUUACAAAUUCGGAGUUAGCAAAUUUUGCUUGAAACUUGAGAAUACUGUAACUUGAAUAAAACGUGCUUAAAUCUCUUUACCCCGACCAAGAAAUAAGCGCAAUUCGUGCUUUACAUCGUAUGCUCAUUUUUCGAGUUUAUGAUAGCGGGAUUGAAAUACGAAACAAACCUAUGCCUGGCUGUGUAAGUUUCUAAUAAUUUUCAUCAAUUGUACCAUACAAUAAUUACAAUAAAUAUUAUAGUAGAGAAAAAGGAAAAAAAAAAAGAAAUGUAUUCAUGAGAGCAUUAUGUUAUUUCACAGUCGCCACCUGAUUGGUUAAGUAGCAUUCAAAGAUGGAAUUAGCAUAACCGCGUGUUAGUUCAAAGACGUUAUGUAGUCAGUAAAUCUGAUCAAGAGUACCCGGAGCAAAAGAUACUAAGAUUUUGACUAGCAAAUAGUGACUAGUACAAAAUAAAAACUUGCUCCGGCAUUAUCAGUGUGGUAUAUGGCUGGUUAUCCGAAACAGUCAAGAUCUUUUAAAAAGUCUAAACCGACGAAGUCAAAUCAAGGGAUGAAGUUGGGAAAUCAAGGCAUCAAGUUGGAAAACCUCAAAUGGAAAUCAAAAUUGGACAAGUGGAGAGAUUUAUUCAGUUAAAUCUAGGGAUCGAAUCGACAUUACGGUAAUUCCGUACCGCAGGUAUGAUCAGUCUAAUUUGACUUUUACACGAAAGGAAUAUUUACACGAGGAGCAGUUUAUCAAGUUUAUGGAAAAUAUGGAACAAUUUUGAAAUCAAAUAUCUAGAUCUCUAUAUCUAUUUAUAUGAACUUUCAAGCAAUAAUGCCGCCGAAAGUUGAUAUCAGUUUUCUCAUUUCUAAACGGGAUAAUUCCAUGAAAUUACUCAACGAAUUAUUUGAAGAAUUUAACAUCUUUUACAAGGAAACAAACUCUCAAACAUAGAACAUUUAUAUAAUGAAAUCGAAGAAAAGUAUAGAGGAAUUAAACUACAACAAGCUACAAUAGCCUAGAAGGCUUUUGAAGGAAAGAUUGUUGAACCUGAAAAUAAGGACAAAGUCUUGACAGACAACGAAAAAAAUAGGAAUCAAGUGAAACAUAACUUUUUAGAAUGCACAAAGUAUUUUACUGAGUUCUAAAAGAAAUUCGAAGAAAAAAAGGCGCUGAAAACCUGGGAAUGGCGAAAGUUGUGACAAGUGCAGUCACAGAAUUGUUGUCCAAAUUUUCAAGUAAAGGGGACGGGAAACUGGAAAAUAUUUCUCCCCCGAUGUGGGAUGGAAGAAGGAGAUCAUAUGCGACGUGGA